rnacentral:rRNA from 1 species
UGAGUACGAGAUGCUACGGCAUCGAAGCAGUCUAUGUCAUACUUCCAAGAAAAGCUUGCACUGUCAUAAACAAAGAAUGCCUGUACCAUAACCGACACAGGUGGGUAGGUAGAGUAUACUAAGGGGCGCGAGAUAACUCUCUCUAAGGAACUCGGCAAAAUGACUCCGUAACUUGGGGAGAAGGAGUGCCUUAUUUCUAAGGUUGCAAUAACAAGAUCCAAGCAACUGUUUACCAAAAACACAGGUCUCCGCUAAGUCGUAAGACGAUGUAUGGGGGCUGACGCCUGCCCAGUGCCAGAAGGUUAAAGAAGUUGGUUAGCAUUAGCGAAGCUGAUAACUGAAGCCCUGGUGAACGGCGGCCGUAACUAUAACGGUCCUAAGGUAGCGAAAUUCCUUGUCGGGUAAGUUCCGACCCGCACGAAAGGCGUAAUGAUUUGGAUACUGUCUCGGAGAGGGGCUCGGUGAAAUAGACUUGUCUGUGAAGAUGCGGACUACCUGCACCUGGACAGAAAGACCCUAUGAAGCUUUACUGUAACUUGAGAUUGAAAUUGGACUUUAUUUGCGCAGUAUAGGUGGGAGGCGUUGAGAAUAAUCUUGCGGGAUUGUUGGAGCCAUCAGUGAGAUACCACUCUUGUAAUGUUAGAUUUCUAACUUUGUAUCAUUAUCUGGUCAAAGAACAAUUUCAGGCGGGCAGUUUGACUGGGGCGGUCGCCUCCCAAAGGGUAACGGAGGCGCACAAAGGUUUCCUCUGAACGGGUAGAAAUCGUAUCUAGAGUGUAAAGGCAUAAGGAAGCUUGACUGUGAGACCUACAAGUCGAGCAGGGACGAAAGUCGGUCUUAGUGAUCUGACGGUGCUGAGUGGAAAGGCCGUCACUCAACGGAUAAAAGUUACUCUAAGGAUAACAGGCUGAUCUCCCCCAAGAGUUCACAUCGACGGGGAGGUUUGGCACCUCGAUGUCGGCUCAUCGCAUCCUGGGGCGGUAGUCCGUCCCAAGGGUUGGGCUGUUCGCCCAUGAAAGCGGUACGCGAGCUGGGUUCAGAACGUCGUGAGACAGUUCGGUCCGUAUCCGGUGUAGGCGUUAGAAUAUUGAGAGGAGCCUUCUCUAGUACGAGAGGACCGAGAAGGACAUACCUCUGGUGUACCAGUUAUCGUGCCAACGGUAAACGCUGGGUAGCUAUGUAUGGAGUGGAUAACCGCUGAAAGCAUCUAAGUGGGAAGCCCACCUCAAGAUAAGUAUUCCC